AACAUUUCUUUUAGGUUUAUUUUAAAAGUAAAGUCUGCCCACUGUUUUAAUUAAUAAAUGGCCGCGGUAUUUUGACCGUGCAAAGGUAGCAUAAUCAUUAGUCUCUUAAUUGGGGAAUGGAAUGAAUGGCUUAAUGAUUUUUUACUUUUUUUAAUAAUUAUUUAGAAUUUUGAUUUUAAGUGAAAAUACUUAAAUGGUUUAAAUAGACGAUAAGACCCUAUAGAAUUUUAUCUUUUUUGUUUUUUUAUAUUUGUAAAAGGGUUUAAAUGGGGCAUUUUAUGAAUAUAAUUAAUUUCUUAAUAAUUUUUUAAAAAUAUCUUUAUUUAUAAAUUAUAAAAAAAUUACCUUAGGGAUAACAGCGUAAUGAUUUUUGAGAGUUCAUAUCGACAAAAUAGUUUGCGACCUCGAUGUUGAAUUAAAAUACCUUUAUAAAGCAGCUUUAUAGAAGGUGGUCGUUCGACUAUAAAAAUUUUACAUGAUUUGAGU
rnacentral:rRNA from 1 species